GAUGAAGAACGCAGCGAAAUGCGAUAAUUAAUGUGAAUUGCAGAAUUCCGUGAAUCAUCGAGUCUUUGAACGCACAUUGCGCCUCAUGGCAUUCCGUGAGGCAUGCCCAUCUCAGCGUUAGAAAAUAUUCUCAAAUUUUAGUUUUGUGCUAAAAUUUGGAUCAUGUCAAGGAAGCUAUUACUAUUAUUGUGAUCGCUCUUUGGAAAUUGGUAGGUCUUUGAGUUGCUACUCAUAGAACGUGAUGAAUCUUUCUUCGUUCUAUUGUAAUUCACUCUGGUAGUCCUAAAACUUGUAUGCCUGUGGCAUAUCUCGUAAUUUGACCUGAGAUUGGGUAGGGAUACCCGCUGAACUUAAGCAUAUCAAUAAGCGGAGGA
rnacentral:misc_RNA from 1 species